GAUCAACGCUGGCGGCGUGCCUCAGACAUGCAAGUCGAACGAUUACAGCUCUCUUCGGAGAGUGCAUAGAGUGGCGCACGGGUGAGUAACACGUAAGUAAUCUAUCUUUGAGUGGGAAUAACCCGGGGAAACCCGAGCUAAUACCGCAUAACGCAGCGGCACCGCAAGGUGACAGUUGUUAAAGGAGCAAUCCGCUUGAAGAGGAGCUUGCGGCAGAUUAGCUAGUUGGUGGGGUAACGGCCUACCAAGGCAACGAUCAGGAGCCGGCCGGCGAGGGGCAUCGGCCACACGGGGACUGGGACACGGGCCAGACUCCGACGGGAGGCAGCAGUGGGGGAGUUUGCGCAAUGGACGAAAGUCUGACGCGGCAACGCCGGGUGGGUGAUGAAGGUCUUCGGAUUGUAAAACCCUGUCGUCAGGGACGAAGGUAGGGAACCUAAUACGUUUUCUGCUUGACGGUACCUGGAGAGGAAGCCCCGGCUAACUC
rnacentral:rRNA from 1 species